rnacentral:rRNA from 1 species
AUUGAACGCUGGCGGCAGGCCUAACACAUGCAAGUCGAGCGGGGUUUUCGGACCUAGCGGCGGACGGGUGAGUAAUGCGUAGGAAGCUGCCUGAUAGAGGGGGAUACCAGUUGGAAACGACUGUUAAUACCGCAUAAUGUCUACGGACCAAAGUGUGGGACCUUCGGGCCACAUGCUAGCGGAUGCCCCUACGGGGGAUUAGCUAGUUGGUGGGGUAAUGGCUCACCAAGGCGACGAUCUCUAGCUGGUUUGAGAGGAUGAUCAGCCACACUGGAACUGAGACACGGUCCAGACUCCUACGGGAGGCAGCAGUGGGGAAUAUUGGACAAUGGGCGCAAGCCUGAUCCAGCCAUGCCGCGUGUGUGAAGAAGGCCUUCGGGUUGUAAAGCACUUUCAGCGAGGAGGAAGGGUUAGUCGUUAAUAGCGGCUAAUUUUGACGUUACUCGCAGGAGAAGCACCGGCUAACUCUGUGCCAGCAGCCGCAGUAAGAC